UCUGUCAACAAACCUGGACAGCCUUUUGUCCCAAAACAUUGUCUGCUUUGUGAGCCCAACAGGCUUUGUCUCAGGCCAUUAUAUGUUCUUGGAGCCCAUUAAAUUCCCCUAAAAAUCAUUUACUAACCCCCUUACAUCACUCAUACUUCCCCAUCUCCCUUUCUUCUAAGAAGAAAGGCAUAAAAACAUCUAGACCCCAAUUCACGGAGAAAGAGGGGAUAAUAUCUGGGAUUUUCCUCCAUGCACUUUAAUAAAUUUAUAUGCUUUCCUCCUAUUAAUCUGCCUUUUGUCAGCUGAUUUUCAGCAAACCUUUAGGGGGCAAAAGGGAAGUUUUCCUUUGGCUGCUACACAGCUCUGAACUGAUGAGGAAGAGCUACUGCGUGUAAGAGUCUGGCUACGAGCCAGGUGCCUUCCAUCCUACAUCUCAGUUCAAUUCCACAAUAAAAUGGAAAGGCAGGUAUUACUGAACUCAUUUUACCUAUAAAGAACCUGAGAAGCGAAGUGACUUGCCCCAGCUCAUUGGCAAGCAGCAGAGCUAAGACAGGAAGCCAGGUUUUCCGAGUAUAAAACCCAAGCAGAGUCACUAUGCUGUACUGAGACCUCCUAUUACUGAUUAUGAACCAAGGUAAUUUUAUCCUACUUGAUAACUCAGAUGUCACCUCCUCCUGAAUUAGUCACUUUUAUAUGCUCCUCUUGUCUCUCUUCUUUUCUAUUUUCUCCAAGAACUGAGCUGUGGGACGCUUACCCUCAUGAUAUUCCCUUACUUUGAGAUAACUGCGAUUCUCUCACUUAAUGGCAAGGAAAAAAAUACUUGGAAUGUGGCCCCUGAAAGAGAUUAGGACGCAGACACACACAGAGGGAAGACCAUGUAAAGACAGAGAGAAGAUGGCCAUCUAUAAGCCAAGAAGAGAGGCCCCAGAAGAAAUGAACGCUGCUAAUACCUUGAUCCAGGGCUUCUUGCCUCCAGAAUGACUGGGGUGAUUGGUUUCGUGAAGAGGACCGCAAAGGUAAGGUGCCAUUUUUAUCACAUGAAGUCAAGAGCACAUUCAUACUAUGUAUAGAUAGUACAUACUAUCAGUAUGACUGUUGACCCUGACUUCAAUCACCUGAUUGAGCUAGAGUUUACCAGGUUUCUCCAAUGUAUGAUCACUUGUCCUCUCCCCCUUUCCUUAUUAUACUUUUGUGUCCGGAAUUGGUGGGUUCUUGGUCUCACUGACUUCAAGAAUCAAG
rnacentral:lncRNA from 1 species